rnacentral:sRNA from 2 species
GACGCGCCAGCGCCGAAGGCAGGAGCGGGGGACCCAAGGUAAGUGCCGGGAGGCCAGCGGGAUCGGCCAAGCGGCUAGGGGUGAAGCAGGGUGCGGACCUCCGCACCCAGCCGGGCAACUCACGCCCGAACCCGACAGCUCACCUCGUAGGCGUCGGUGAGGAAACGA